ensembl:lncRNA
UUCCGACCGCUUAGCGAAGGUGCGCGGGGCCGGGCACACAAAGCCCCGUGGGCCGGGGGCGAACGCAGCCUGCCGGCGAGGGCGCGCGAGGCCGGGCCCCCGCGGCCGCACGCAGGGCCCUGAGCGCGAGAGGGGCGCUCCCGCAGGGACCUCGGCGCGCCGGCCUCAGCGUCCACCUCUUCGACCCUCCGCCCACUCGGGCUCGGCCCCGGGGUCCGGCUGCAUUCCCGGGAGAGAAGCCGCGAGGCUGGCGGGGGCUUCGGGGCGCGGGGCGCGCGAGUGGGACCUGAGGCCCAGACACUAGCCCCCAAAUCGCCCCAGCCCGCUGCUCCUGGACAGGCCGGCCGGCUCUCCGUGAGUCCGGCCUCUGCUUCGCGGGGCAGCAAGCAGGCAGGCCCCUCCUCGUGUCUCCUGAGCGAGCCCCGCCGUGGAGAGGGGUGCAUUUCUCGGAGUCGGAACGCGCAGCACCGAGACCUCCUUUGUGCCUGCCCUUGGCUGUGAACUUUCCCGCGCGGCGGGUUCUCCUUUAAGAAAAUAGCGAUCUCCAUGAAUAUUUAAUGCAGCGCGAGGGCCGUCCGGGCGGAGGGGAGCCCCGCGCCCAGGUCCCCACGGCCGCGACGCGGACCGGGGGGCCAGGGGCGCGAGCCCAGCCGGGGCGCGCGGCCCGGCGGGUUCAUUUCCAUAAGAAAGCCGGCGGCGCGGUCGGAGAGAGGAUCUGGCCCCCGGUCGCCCUCCCCUGGGGACCCGGUUUUCUGCUAGAAGCGGGCUCGGGAGCUCAGAGUCCCAAGUGUGCGCUUUGGUCUUUGAUGCUAUCGACAAAGUGUGGUUUCAGAUGUUGCCCCGGCUGAGGCCGGUUUCCUGUCUGUGUGUGGAGUGGAUGGAAGGACCGCGCCGGGUGAGUCCAAAGCGGGGAGCGGGCUGCAGGCCCGCGGACGGAGGUGGGGGCGGUGCCUGGCGGAGGAAGUUCUCCGGCCGCAGGGUUCUGAGAAGGGGACCAGGUGGAGACCGAGACCCCCCGCACAAAAGAGCGUUUUGGGGGUGGUGGUGGAGGGGGAGGUGAUGAGGGACGAGGGGUCGCUAAGCACCGCGCCCAGGCGGCCGCUGGUGGGAAGGACUGGCGCGCCUCGCCGCCGGGUCCCUCUGCAAAGACCCAGGCAACUUCGCCUCGCCGCCGCUGACCCUCUUCCUGCGAAGGAAU